AGCGGGAAGAAGCACUUCUGAAACACACGUCCAGGCAUUUUGCUUCUGUUUUUUCGACUUAAAAGCUCAAAAAUAUCAAGAAGCUGGAUUUAAAUGAUCAAAUAGUUUGUAGACGAAAUGUAAAGAAUGGAGAGCGGGAAGCAGACGACCAUGGCUUUGUCGACGAUGUCGUCAGAAGAACUCCUAUUAAAAUUAACAGAGGCCGGACUCGAAUUCUCAGAGGAAGAAAACAGAAAAUUCAAAGAUUUUGAAGUUGAUGGGGAAACUGUCAGUGCUGGUCUCACGGAUCACAUGAUAGCACAACUUUUUGGGAAGUCUUUUAAGAAGCAAGUUAAAUUUAUCAAACUUAUCCAACAACUUGAAGAGAACCAGAGUGAAGAACUGUCUGAAAGUCUGACUACACCUUCAGCUUUGAGGCAAGUAUUAGUAUUGUUUUAUUUAUGUUCCCUUAUAUUUUCUUCUGAUUUACUGAUUUUCUUUAAGUCCUUAAAUUUUGUAUUAAUUUUUUUGCCAGAAUGACAUUGAUGUCAGUCUUGAUAAAGCACAGUAAAACUGCACUUCAAAGUCUGAAAGAUUUCACAGAAGUAACUUUAUUAGAAGUCUAUUAACCCAAAACUCUGAUGCUUCAAAACUUCAAUAAAGAGAUGGUAAAAUAAGUCCAAAUGAAUUAAGUCGGUUAAUUAAUUUGUUUAUUUAAAAUCUGGCCAUCAUUUAAUGUUACAAAAAGUGCAUAAUGCUGCUAAUUGUUGUUGGUUUCGACAUAUAACUCUGAAGUGAUUUCAGUAUAUGUGAGUACUUUUUGAACAUUCCAGAACAUUUUAUCAAUCACUUGUAAUUAUCGAAUUAAUUACAAUUACAAUUAUCGACACUUGUAAUUUAAUUGAUGGCUCAAUCGGACUAAAAAACCUUAAUGUAAACACCUUAAUCGAUCUGAUUUAGCUUGAAAUCUUAUUGAAAAUACAAUUUGAAUAUUGUACGUCUUUAUACAGGCUAUAAGCUGCCUGGGGGGCGGGAUGUUAAAUCACUAAUUCGAGAGUAAAACGUUCACAUUUUUUAAAUAAGAAAUUAAUAAUUAUUUUUUAAAAAGUAAUUUUCGGCCAAGUGCAUCUAGAAGUUUUGGCCCUGAAUUUAUUCGGUGCAUCCCUGAAAGUAAGAUGAUAUAAAAACUAUUCUGGCUUAAGUGUAGAUAGACAGUUGUAACUAGUCAUUGGGAACAUUAAUUUAAU